CCUACGGGUGGCAGCAGUGAGGAAUAUUGGUCAAUGGGCGCGAGCCUGAACCAGCCAAGUAGCGUGAAGGAUGACUGCCCUACGGGUUGUAAACUUCUUUUAUAAGGGAAUAAAGUGUUCCACGUGUGGCUUUUUGUAUGUACUAUAUGAAUAAGGAUCGGCUAACUCCGUGCCAGCAGCCGCGGUAAUACGGAGGAUCCGAGCGUUAUCCGGAUUUAUUGGGUUUAAAGGGAGCGUAGGUGGGUUGUUAAGUCAGUUGUGAAAGUUUGCGGCUCAAACGUAAAAUUGCAAUUGAAACUGGCCGUCUUGAGUACAGGAGAGGUAGGCGGAAUUCGUGGUGGAGCGGUGAAAUGCUUAGAUAUCACGAAGAACUCCGAUUGCGAAGGCAGCUUACUAGACUGCCACUGACACUGAUGCUCGAAAGUGUGGGUAUCAAACAGGAUUAGAUACCCCGGUAGUC
rnacentral:rRNA from 1 species